GUCCAGGGAUGGGAAACGAACAGUGUUCGCUUACCAGGCAGAUGCCAUGUCCACUAGGCUACCCUGGA
rnacentral:tRNA from 1 species